rnacentral:lncRNA from 1 species
GGAGCUUCUUCUCUAUACAAUACACAGAUAAAGGUACACCAUUGGCAUAUUCAUUCUUCGUAUCCUUAAUCAAUACACAACAACACUCACGGACCCAUAGAAUUCCACAAACCACAAUACACCACUUACAGACGGCUUCUUCUUCACUAUCAUUCACGCCAUAUACACCAUAAACAAAAAUACCUCACGGCAUAUACACCACAUACACAAUUUAAUUCAUGGAGAUUCCAUUUUCUUCUCCUCUUCACCAGUGCACAUAGAAUGAAACGAUAAUAAUUCACGCACAUCCACUCUCAACACUGCAACAUUCCCAUAAAAAACCUCACAUUGAUACACACUCACACACGCACACAGUGAGAGUUAAUUGGAGUAAGCAAACAAAGAUAUGGGAGGGUGAGACAGACGAGGUGGCUAAUAAAGAGUAAUGGAGAGAGAGAGUAACAAAGAGAGAUAGAGAAGCAUAAUCAUGUAGGACACCUUUUUUGGGGUUCUUUUCUUCGCUAGAAAUAGAGAGUAUAGGACAAGAAACAGAGGAGGGGGAAAUAAUUGGUUUCCAUUUUUAUCAAGAGGAAAAGAGGUCGCGUUUCUGGUUACUUCUCAAUAUGACUCGAUCCUUCAAAUUUUUGUAUACUAGUCGUGAUUUCAGUUUUGGACAUCUUGAUCUUCAUAUAGUUUCUGGGAAUUUCAGUUCGGAAAGAUGGGGAUUUGAUUCGAGUUGGAUUUUGUUUUUUGUUGAGGUUAGAAUCGUGGUUUUCCGGGAGUGAUGUUAUCUCCGAUCUAUUGAAAUUGACACUUGAGGUCCAAUUCUUUGACUCGCUAUUUUCGUUUUGUUUUGAUUUGGUUCAUUGAUGCAUGAUUGUGUGUAGUUAGUUUUUGAUUGCAUGAUCUUGUUGAUAUUCAAUAUUUUUUAUCCGUGAAUAAUUAAUCAUGGCAUGAAUUUGAUGUUAGCAAUGGUUUUGGAUAUUAUUUUUGGUAUAAAAUUGAUGUAUAAAAGGGAUUCGGGAGUAAACAGAAUGAGAAUUGAGGCUUGGUAACAGUGCCUUUUGGUUAAUUUGAUUCAUGGGUUGUUGUUUAACUUGAAAUGAAUAUCAAUCGAACUUGAUAGCAUCAUGAUAGGCCGAUGGGUUGGCAAAUGUAGGUUGGGUAGGUAAACUUAGAAUUCGUAGAAUAUUAAAUGUUUGGUAUAUGUGUUGAAUGCGCUGGUUUUACUACUUUUAAGAUCAAAUUUAUCAUUUGGCCGGGGAAUGCCCUGAGAUUAUAUAGUACUAACUCACUGAGGAAUGCCUUGAAGUAUCAUGUACAUAAGAAGGCUCAUGAUCAAGGCCCGAGGCUUUGGGUAAGGCAUUGGAGCAUAGUUUUAGGAUUAUCUUAGAAUAGGAUUUAUAUUUUCGCAUUUUUUCUAAUUUGGAGUGUAUAAUUGGAUUGGAAACUAUAUUUUUAAUUUGUUUUGUUUUGUGUUUUUGAUUAAUUAUCUUUUGUGUUUUGUGUGGUUUAUUCAUCUGUAAUGUCAAAUUAGCUGAUAUACUCCACCAAGCGAUCGUGGUUGAACUACGGGAUAGAGGCAUGCCUAACACCUCCCCUCGGUCAACAAAAUUCCUUAGCUGGAAUUUCUAUACACAAAUAAGUUUUUAAAGAGUCAAAAAAUAGUUUUGAAAAAGGAUUUUCAAAUAUGAAUUGGCACCCCC